rnacentral:rRNA from 1 species
ACAAUGAAGAGUUUGAUCCUGGCUCAGGAUGAACGCUAGCUACAGGCUUAACACAUGCAAGUCGAGGGGCAUCAGGAAGAAAGCUUGCUUUCUUUGCUGGCGACCGGCGCACGGGUGAGUAACACGUAUCCAACCUGCCCUUUACUCGGGGAUAGCCUUUCGAAAGAAAGAUUAAUACCCGAUAGCAUAAUGAUUCCGCAUGGUUUCAUUAUUAAAGGAUUCCGGUAAAGGAUGGGGAUGCGUUCCAUUAGGUUGUUGGUGAGGUAACGGCCCACCAAGCCUUCGAUGGAUAGGGGUUCUGAGAGGAAGGUCCCCCACAUUGGAACUGAGACACGGUCCAAACUCCUACGGGAGGCAGCAGUGAGGAAUAUUGGUCAAUGGGCGCUAGCCUGAACCAGCCAAGUAGCGUGAAGGAUGAAGGCUCUAUGGGUCGUAAACUUCUUUUAUAUAAGAAUAAAGUGCAGUAUGUAUACUGUUUUGUAUGUAUUAUAUGAAUAAGGAUCGGCUAACUCCGUGCCAGCAGCCGCGGUAAUACGGAGGAUCCGAGCGUUAUCCGGAUUUAUUGGGUUUAAAGGGAGCGUAGGUGGACUGGUAAGUCAGUUGUGAAAGUUUGCGGCUCAACCGUAAAAUUGCAGUUGAUACUGUCAGUCUUGAGUACAGUAGAGGUGGGCGGAAUUCGUGGUGUAGCGGUGAAAUGCUUAGAUAUCACGAAGAACUCCGAUUGCGAAGGCAGCUCACUGGACUGCAACUGACACUGAUGCUCGAAAGUGUGGGUAUCAAACAGGAUUAGAUACCCUGGUAGUCCACACAGUAAACGAUGAAUACUCGCUGUUUGCGAUAUACAGUAAGCGGCCAAGCGAAAGCAUUAAGUAUUCCACCUGGGGAGUACGCCGGCAACGGUGAAACUCAAAGGAAUUGACGGGGGCCCGCACAAGCGGAGGAACAUGUGGUUUAAUUCGAUGAUACGCGAGGAACCUUACCCGGGCUUAAAUUGCAGUGGAAUGAUGUGGAAACAUGUCAGUGAGCAAUCACCGCUGUGAAGGUGCUGCAUGGUUGUCGUCAGCUCGUGCCGUGAGGUGUCGGCUUAAGUGCCAUAACGAGCGCAACCCUUAUCUUCAGUUACUAACAGGUCAUGCUGAGGACUCUGGAGAGACUGCCGUCGUAAGAUGUGAGGAAGGUGGGGAUGACGUCAAAUCAGCACGGCCCUUACGUCCGGGGCUACACACGUGUUACAAUGGGGGGUACAGAAGGCAGCUAGCGGGUGACCGUAUGCUAAUCCCAAAAUCCUCUCUCAGUUCGGAUCGAAGUCUGCAACCCGACUUCGUGAAGCUGGAUUCGCUAGUAAUCGCGCAUCAGCCACGGCGCGGUGAAUACGUUCCCGGGCCUUGUACACACCGCCCGUCAAGCCAUGGGAGCCGGGGGUACCUGAAGUACGUAACCGCAAGGAUCGUCCUAGGGUAAAACUGGUGACUGGGGCUAAGUCGUAACAAGGUAGCCGUACCGGAAGGUGCGGCUGGAACACCUCCUUU